GUGAAAAACAGAACUCAGACUUCUGUGAACAUUGAAAGCCACCAUGAAUCGUUUGGCACUUGCUCUGAUUCUCCUUGUUGCAGUAGCAGGAGUUAUUGGUGAAAGAGAUAGAACAGAAGAAGAAUUUGAAAGAUGUGGACCACGGCUAAAGGGAGUUUGUUUACAAAGUUACCACUGCCCCCUAGGUUGGACUGGAGUUGAUGGAAUAUGUGAUCGUCGUUCAAGGUGCUGCUUAAAAUCACCUGAUUUCACAAAUUGAGAAGAUGUGGAUUGAGCAAAUGGGUCUGAAACUGUCUGGCGAUAACAUAUUUACUGGAAACUGUUAAUGUGCUUAGUUUUUCUUACUUUUCAAAAGCUACGAUGUUUAAGGCAAAGAUUCUUAGUGCAAAACCAAAUUCAGUUGCCAUUAAUGUGAGUUAAUGAUUUAGAAUAAAUAACUAAAAUCCAAAUAUGGUUAUCUAGUUUCACAUCAGAUCAUUCAAUGUAAAUCAGAAACAUUCUGAUAUCCAAAUAUAGUAUUGUUUUUAACUCUUGUUUGUAGAUCCUUUUGCUAAUAAAAAUACUCAUUUACCAUCUCA